GGGCCAAAAGUUCCCAGAUCCUGGCCAGACCUGCCUGAAGUCACCAGGGGCUGCCAGCCCAGCUGGCUCCUCAGUGUACGAAAAGUCCCGGGGGAGAGAACUUUAGAAGUUUCACGCCGCGAGACAGGGAGACCCGUAUCUGUUUCCCAGUGUCACACCUGCCGGCCCCCAGGGCCACUCUAGUGGGUGCCAAUGGCAUCGGCCUUCCCAGGACAGCGCCCGCCUGGGCCUAUGUCAGAACGCCUGGGACAGAGGGACUUGCCAGGUCCCCUUCCCCGGGGCGUCGUGCGUGGCAAGGGACCUGGCUCUGAAUACAGAAGCUCAGCACCCACCACAGCCCGAGGAGAGUGGGAGAGGCCUUCGGCCACUCACCUCACCCGUGGAGACGCCUCUCGUAUGCCACAGAGGAGUGGGCAGGGCUGGGCUCCCGGAAGUGGCCCGCAUGCGAGGCCUCCCGAGGAGGCUGGAUGGCUGGGCUCCAGCUGGAGACAGGGGCGGGUGGACACUGCCCCUGUGCCAGUGAGCCUGGGGCUGCCCAUCUGGGAGGCUAGGCACGGGGUGCACAGCGGCUUCCUGUCACCUUAGUUCUUGACACCGGAUGGCCACAGCCCCACAGCCACGCCUUGGUCUGGUGGCUUCUGCCUGGCUCUGCCUCGGCCGUACCUCCGGCCCCAAAGUGCCCGAGCCGAGUGCACAGCGGCUUCCUGUCACCUUAGUUCUUGACACCGGAUGGCCACAGCCCCACAGCCACGCCUUGGUCUGGUGGCUUCUGCCUGGCUCUGCCUCGGCCGUACCUCCCGCCCCAAAGUGCCCGAGCCGUGGCCUGCCCCACCCACAGGUUCCGGGCCCCACCCUGACCAGACCUGCCGUUGUAUGUGUUGCACGUUUGUGCAAUGACGUUGGUGAGCUCCGGGUCACCCUGGAACCUAGUCACCUCCCACAGCGCACCCUGGCCAGGACAGCUCUCCAGGCCUGGCGUCAGGGUCCACCUGUGGGCAGCGCCCGGGCCCAGAAACCUGCAUUUCCGCCACCCUUGCCUGCCUGCGUUGUGCGUCUCCACAUCACACAGCCACGCCUGAGGACCGAGCAUCCUCUGAUGCCUGACGUGUGGCGCCUCCAACUAGGCCCUUGUUGCCAAACCUCUUGCCACGACGGGACGGUUCCGAAAGGCUUGAGGACACUUCCUCCUCGGCUGAGCCAUAGAUGGCACUUAGUUCCGAGUGCUCGAACGAACUGCUCCUUCACACGUGUGCCAGAAGCACAUGCCAUGAGACCACUCCUGCCGCUGAGGUUGAUCGAUGUCACUCGCCUCCCCGCGAUCCCCAACUUCCUCUGGGGCCUGGGUGGCAGCUCCCUGCCCUUUGGGGCCAGCCCUGGUGUGGCCACUGUUUUCAGUGGGCACCGGGACUUGAGAAGUACAGCUGACCCUCGCCGCCAGGAGACAAACACCAGAUGAACGAGGUGUGACCGAAUGAAGCGCUUGAGUAAAAGGACCAUGGCUGCCGUAGGCCAGAAUCAGAGCAACGCAUGGGAGCGGGGGCCUCAGAGAGCAUCCAGCCCCAUGUUGGGCUCCACAGGAAGAGCUCUGAGGCCAAAAGGGAAGAGACCACCCAUGCCGGGAAGAGAACGAAGGCUGACUCCUGGGGCGCUGCAGAAGGAGUUUGUGUAAGCCGUGCUCUGCUCCAGAAGUAAAUACCUGUCAUGUUUAGGGGCACCCAUGCCCAUUUGGUCUCUGCUGGGCCAGCCUGCCGGACAGAAAUCCAUGAAGGUCCUCACCCAGACCUGGAGAAAAACUCACUGUAAAGCGCUGCAGGAUGAACGGCUGGGCCCGCUGGCCACUUCCGGGGAGCGUGAGACAUUCAGGUGGGCUCCACGACGGCCCUGAGGUAUCCCCUGCAGCUCCAGGGUGACCCUGAUGUCACGGGGCUGACCGCACACUGGCCUUGUCCUGGAGUCCAGAGGCAGCCAGAGCUGGGUGCUGCUCUGAGGCCCAGGAGGACAGAGGGAGACCUUGGCCCCUGUUCUAAGUGCUCCAGGCCUCAGUGGCCGUGGCCUCUCUGCCACUGUCUUUCCCCUUCCCCCGUUGUCCCGGGCAGGACUGUCCAUCCAUUCCCAGCCGGCACAGCCUGGUCCUGUGUGUGCCCCUCUGUCCGGCAUGCCCUGGUCCGGGGUCUUCGCGGUCAAGCCCACCAGUGGUGGUGGCUUCUCAGUCAGGAAUGCGCAGGCUCACUCUGAAGCCCGACUCCCUCCCCUCCUUUUGCCCUAGGCUGCCCCUGGAGGACCGGC
rnacentral:lncRNA from 1 species